rnacentral:rRNA from 1 species
UACGUAGGGGGCAAGCGUUGUCCGGAUUUAUUGGGCGUAAAGAGCGUGUAGGCGGUCUGGUAGGUCCGUUGUGAAAACUCGAGGCUCAACCUCGAGACGUCGGCGGAAACCAUCUGGCUAGAGUCCGGAAGAGGAGAGUGGAAUUCCUGGUGUAGCGGUGAAAUGCGCAGAUAUCAGGAAGAACACCCGUGGCGAAGGCGGCUCUCUGGGACGGUACUGACGCUGAGACGCGAAAGCUCGGGGAGCGAACGGG